AUUGAACACUGGCGGCAGGCUUAACACAUGCAAGUCGAGCGGAGAUGAGGUGCUUGCACCUUAUCUUAGCGGCGGACGGGUGAGUAAUGCUUAGGAAUCUGCCUAUUAGUGGGGGACAACAUUCCGAAAGGAAUGCUAAUACCGCAUACGUCCUACAGGAGAAAGCAGGGGACCUUCGGGCCUUGCGCUAAUAGAUGAGCCUAAGUCGGAUUAGCUAGUUGGUGGGGUAAAGGCCUACCAAGGCGACGAUCUGUAGCGGGUCUGAGAGGAUGAUCCGCCACACUGGGACUGAGACACGGCCCAGACUCCUACGGGAGGCAGCAGUGGGGAAUAUUGGACAAUGGGCGGAAGCCUGAUCCAGCCAUGCCGCGUGUGUGAAGAAGGCCUUUUGGUUGUAAAGCACUUUAAGCGAGGAGGAGGCUACUUAGAUUAAUACUCUAGGAUAGUGGACGUUACUCGCAGAAUAAGCACCGGCUAACUCUGUGCCAGCCGCCGCCGUAACAC
rnacentral:rRNA from 1 species